rnacentral:rRNA from 1 species
GUCUACGGCCAUGCUACCCUGAACAAUCCUGAUCCCAUCUGAUCUCGGAAGCUAAGCAGCGUCGGGCCUGGUUAGUACAUGGAUGGGAGACCACCUAGGAAGACCAGGUGCUGGUCU